rnacentral:rRNA from 1 species
UACGGAGGGUGCAAGCGUUGUUCGGAAUUAUUGGGCGUAAAGCGCGUGUAGGCGGUCUUUUAAGUCUGAUGUGAAAGCCCCGGGCUCAACCUGGGAAGUGCAUUGGAAACUGGAAGACUUGAGUACGGGAGAGGGCAGUGGAAUUCCUAGUGUAGGAGUGAAAUCCGUAGAUAUUAGGAGGAACACCGGUGGCGAAGGCGGCUGCCUGGACCGAUACUGACGCUGAGACGCGAAAGCGUGGGGAGCAAACAGG